GCAUAUCAAUAAGCGGAGGAAAAGAAACCAACAGGGAUUGCCCUAGUAACGGCGAGUGAAGCGGCAACAGCUCAAAUUUGAAAGCUAGCCUUCGGGUUCGCAUUGUAAUUUGUAGAGGAUGAUUUGGGGAAGCCGCCUGUCUAAGUUCCUUGGAACAGGACGUCAUAGAGGGUGAGAAUCCCGUAUGUGACAGGAAAUGGCACCCUAUGUAAAUCUCCUUCGACGAGUCGAGUUGUUUGGGAAUGCAGCUCUAAAUGGGAGGUAAAUUUCUUCUAAAGCUAAAUAUUGGCGAGAGACCGAUAGCGCACAAGUAGAGUGAUCGAAAGAUGAAAAGCACUUUGGAAAGAGAGUUAAAAAGCACGUGAAAUUGUUGAAAGGGAAGCGCUUGCAAUCAGACUUGUUUAAACUGUUCGGCCGGUCUUCUGACCGGUUUACUCAGUUUGGACAGGCCAGCAUCAGUUUCGGCGGCCGGAUAAAGGCUCUGGGAAUGUGGCCUCCACUUCGGUGGAGGUGUUAUAGCCCAGGGUGUAAUACGGCCAGCCGGGACUGAGGUCCGCGCUUCGGCUAGGAUGCUGGCGUAAUGGUUGUAAGCGACCCGUCUUGAACCACGGACCCGGCCCGUCUUGAAACACGGACC
rnacentral:rRNA from 1 species